CCCGGACCAGUCAGUCCUCACAUGGUCUUCAUCGGAGCCCGCUGCCAUGCUGCUGCGCUCACGCAUCGCCUGCGUCUGGCGGGACCUGGCGCACUACGUCCGCAAGGUAUGUACAUAGCCUCUUCGGAUCCAGAUGCCGUCCGACGAGAGACAACAAAGCUCCCGGGAGUAGGAGCGGCCUUCCACCAGGAUCCCAGUCGAGUCCCGGUUGAAGAGUCCGUUGGAAGAACAAUCUGCGUUAGGACUGAGCCUCAACACCUCAGAAGAAAAUAUGUUUUUAUAAUUUUUGUUAAUUUUGUUAUUUCCUUUCUAUGUGCAAUGUACCAAGUAACGUUUACAAUGCCUCUAUACAAUGUAAAUUAAAAAUUUAAUCUAGCUUCGUCAAUAAACAAAGAAGUAAAUAACAUUCUCUAACGCAAAAUGUGUAUAUACAUCAAUGAGUAAAGUUCAAAUUACUAUAAUUAUAUUUUAUAUCUAAUGAAAAAAAUGUUAAAUAAAUUUAUUCUAG